AACGAACGCUGGCGGCAGGCCUAACACAUGCAAGUCGAGCGCCCCGCCAGGGGAGCGGCGGUCGGGUGAGUAACGCGUGGGAACGUACCUUUUGGUACGGAACAACUUCGGGUUACUGGAGCUAAUACCGGAGAAGCCCUAACGGGGUAAGGUUUAUCGCCGAAGGAUCGGCCCUCGUCUGAUUAGCACGUUGGGGGGGUGAAGGAGCACCAAGGCGACGAUCAGUAGCUGGUCAGAGAGGAAGAUCAGCCACACUGGGACUGGGACACGGCCCAGACUCCUGCGGGAGGCAGCAGUGGGUAAUAUUGGACAAUGGGCGCAAGCCUGAUCCAGCCAGGCCGCGUGAGUGAUGAAGUCCUUAGGGUUGUAAAGCUCUUUUGUCCGGGAAGAUAAUGACGGUACCGGAAGAAUAAGCCCCGGCUAACUUCGUG
rnacentral:rRNA from 1 species